GACGAGGGGUCCUAGCGUUGUUCGGAAUCACUGGGCGUAAAGCGUAUGUAGGCGGCCUUUCAAGUCAGGUGUGAAAUCCCAUGGCUUAACCAUGGAACUGCAUUUGAAACUGUAAGGCUUGAGUAUUGGAGAGGAUGGUAGAAUUCCUGGUGUAGUGGUGAAAUACGUAGAUAUCAGGAGGAAUACCGGUGGCGAAGGCGGCCAUCUGGCCAAAUACUGACGCUGAGAUACGAAAGUGUGGGGAUCAAACAGG
rnacentral:rRNA from 1 species